rnacentral:SRP_RNA from 1 species
GCUGGGCGUGGUUGUGCGCGCCUGUAAUCCCAGCUACUCAGGAGGCUGAGGCAGGAGAAUCGCUUGAACCUGGGAGGUGGAGGUUGUAGUGAGCCGAGAUUGUGCCACUGCACUCCAGCCUGGGUGACAUAGCGAGACUCUGUCUCAA